AUUGAACGCUGGCGGCAUGCCUUACACAUGCAAGUCGAACGGCAGCGGGCCUUCGGGUGCCGGCGAGUGGCGAACGGGUGAGUAAUGCAUCGGAACGUGCCAUUGAGUGGGGGAUAACGUAGCGAAAGUUGCGCUAAUACCGCAUAUUCUGUGAGCAGGAAAGCAGGGGACCGCAAGGCCUUGCGCUCUUUGAGCGGCCGAUGUCAGAUUAGCUAGUUGGUGAGGUAAAGGCCUACCAAGGCGACGAUCGGUAACUGGUCUGAGAGGAUGAUCAGUCACACUGGAACUGAGACACGGUCCAGACUCCUACGGGAGGCAGCAGUGGGGAAUAUUGGACAAUGGGGGGCAACCCUGAUCCAGCCAUGCCGCGUGUGUGAAGAAGGCC
rnacentral:rRNA from 1 species